rnacentral:rRNA from 1 species
UACGUAGGGCGCAAGCGUUGUCCGGAAUUAUUGGGCGUAAAGAGCUCGUAGGCGGCCUGUUGCGUCCGCUGUGAAAUCCCGGGGCUCAACCCCGGGCCUGCAGUGGAUACGGGCUGGCUAGAGGCAGGCAGGGGAGAACGGAAUUCCUGGUGUAGCGGUGAAAUGCGCAGAUAUCAGGAGGAACACCGAUGGCGAAGGCAGGUCACUGGGCCGCAACUGACGCUGAGGAGCGAAAGCAUGGGGAGCGAACAGG